GUGGUCCGGAUGGGGUUAUACUGGAAGCCGCUGGCUUGGCUGCAGGAGCUGAAGUCCGCGUAAGCCGAGGCCAGGCUGGACGUGUCCAUGCCGGCCAUGCACGACUCGUAGGCGGAGGAAUUGAGGAUAUGCUGUGAAGAGUUGCUGUGAAGUAUUGCUGGAUGCCGGUGUUGCCCUUCGACAUGGCGACAGGUCGCCUUGGAGAUAUCCGGUCCUUUGAACUGGGUUAGCUGGCUCUGAAUUCAGCCGGAUUUCCUUCCCAGAAUCUAGGCAGCGAAUGCGAAGUAGCCCGGGCGGAUCUACUCCGCACGGAUUCCGAGGGCGAGGCGCACAGAUAGGAUCGCUCGCAAAGGUGGAGAAGCUGGAGCGGCCGUGGGAAACGCGGAGCUUUGCCCACCGGCAAGCAAAACAGAAACGGUUGGAGAAAAUUAAAAAAAAAAAA